CACGUCAGCGCGCUUUGUUGACAUGGCAACAAAUCGUGCCCUCUAGGACACAAUUUUCUGCCACACCAGCAAAGCGCGCUGACGUGG
rfam:Gossypium hirsutum cultivar TM-1 chromosome 5, whole genome shotgun sequence